rnacentral:rRNA from 1 species
ACGCGAAGAACCUUACCUGGGCUCGAACGGCUUCCCACGCCGGUGGAAACAUCGGUAUCCCGCAAGGGAGUGGAGUCGAGGUGCUGCAUGGCUGUCGUCAGCUCGUGUCGUGAGAUGUUGGGUUAAGUCCCGCAACGAGCGCAACCCUUGUCCUGUGUUGCCACCCCGUAAGGGAGCACUCGCAGGAGACCGCCAGCGAUAAGCUGGAGGAAGGUGGGGAUGACGUCAAGUCCUCAUGGCCUUUAUGUCCAGGGCUACACACGUGCUACAAUGGCCGGUACAAAGCGUUCCCAAGCCGCGAGGUGGAGGCAAUCGCAAAAAACCGGUCUCAGUUCGGAUUGCAGGCUGCAACUCGCCUGCAUGAAGCUGGAAUCGCUAGUAAUGGCAGAUCAGCACGCUGCCGUGAAUACGUUCCCGGGUCUUGUACACACCG